rnacentral:rRNA from 1 species
CAAUAGCGUAUAUUUAAGUUGUUGCAGUUAAAAAGCUCGUAGUUGGAUUUCGGGGUGGCCUGCCUGGUCCACCGCAAGGUGAGUACUGGUCAGCCGCCCUUCCUCUCGAAAGCCCCGACUGCUCUUCAUUGCAGUGGUCGGGUAGUUCGGGACGUUUACUUUGAAAAAAUUAGAGUGUUCAAGGCAGGCCGUCGCCUGAAUACAUUAGCAUGGAAUAAUGGAAGAGGACCUCGGUCCUAUUUUGUUGGUUUCUAGGGCCGAAGUAAUGAUUAAGAGGGACAGUUGGGGGCAUUCGUAUUUAAUUGUCAGAGGUGAAAUUCUUGGAUUUAUGAAAGACGAACUAGUGCGAAAGCAUUUGCCAAGGAUGUUUUCAUUAA